GCACUCGCUUCGGCAGUGCAUGUAUUAAAAUGGGAACAAUACAGAGAAAAUUAGCAUGGCCCCUGUGAAAGGAAGACACGCGAAAGAAGUAUGGCUGAGGAUG